GAAAUGCGAUAAGUAAUGUGAAUUGCAGAAUUCAGUGAAUCAUCGAAUCUUUGAACGCACAUUGCGCCCGCCAGUAUUCUGGCGGGCAUGCCUGUUCGAGCGUCAUUUCAACCAUCAAGCCCCCGGCUUGUGUUGGGGACCUGCGGCUGCCCGCAGGCCCUGAAAAACAGUGGCGGGCUCGCUGUCACACCGAGCGUAGUAGCAUACAUUCUCGCUCAGGGCGUGCUGCGGGUUCCGGCCGUUAAACGACCUUCAUAACCCAAGGUUGACCUCGGAUCAGGUAGGAAGACCCGCUGAACUUAAGC
rnacentral:misc_RNA from 1 species